CAGUCGCCGCGGGAAUACGUGGGUGGCAAGCGUUGUCCGGAAUUAUUGGGCGAAAAGCGUGCGCAGGCGGUUUUGUAAGACAGGCGCGAAAUCCCCGGGCUCAACCUGGGAAUGGCGCUUGUGACUGCAAAGCUAGAGUGCGGCAGAGGGGGAUGGAACUCCGCGUGUAGCAGUGAAAUGCGUAGAUAUGCGGAGGAACACCGAUGGCGAAGGCAAUCCCCUGGGCCUGCACUGACGCUCAUGCACGAAAGCGUGGGGAGCAAACAGGAUUAGAUACCCGGGUAGUCCCUGUCUCUUAUAC
rnacentral:rRNA from 1 species